AGUCGAACGGAAGGCCCUUCGGGGUGCUCGAGUGGCGAACGGGUGAGUAACACGUGGGUGAUCUGCCCUGCACUUUGGGAUAAGCCUGGGAAACUGGGUCUAAUACCGAAUAGGACUCCGGACUGCAUGGUCUGGGGUGGAAAGCUUUUGCGGUGUGGGAUGGGCCCGCGGCCUAUCAGCUUGUUGGUGGGGUGAUGGCCUACCAAGGCGACGACGGGUAGCCGGCCUUGAGAGGGGUGGACCGGCCACACUGGGACUGAGAAUUACGGGCCCAGACUCCUACCGGGGAGGGCAGGCAGUUUGGGGAAUUAUUGCCACACAUUGGGGCGCCAAGCCUUGAAUGCAGGCGACGCCGCGUGAAGGGAUGACGGCCUUUCGGGUUGUUAAACCUUCUUUCAGCACAGACGAAGCGCGAGUGACGGUAUGUGCAGAAGGAAGGACCGGCCCAACUACGUGCCAGCAGCCCGCCGGUAUUACGUAGGGUCCGAGCGUUGUCCGGAAUUACUGGGCGUAAAGAGCUCGUAGGUGGUUUGUCGCGUUGUUCGUGAAAACUCACAGCUUAACUGUGGGCGUGCGGGCGAUACGGGCAGACUGGAGUACUGCAGGGGAGACUGGAAUUCCUGGUGUAGCGGUGGAAUGCGCAGAUAUCAGGAGGAACACCGGUGGCGAAGGCGGGUCUCUGGGCAGUAACUGACGCUGAGGAGCGAAAGCGUGGGGAGCGAACAGGAUUAGAUACCCUGGUAGUCCACGCCGUAAACGGUGGGUACUAGGUGUGGGUUUCCUUCCUUGGGAUCCGUGCCGUAGCUAACGCAUUAAGUACCCCGCCUGGGGAGUACGGCCGCAAGGCUAAAACUCAAAGGAAUUGACGGGGGCCCGCACAAGCGGCGGAGCAUGUGGAUUAAUUCGAUGCAACGCGAAAGAACCUUACCUGGGUUUGACAUGCACAGGACGCCGGCAGAAGAUGUCGGUUCCCUUGUGGCCUGUGUGCAGGUGGUGCAUGGCUGUCGUCAGCUCGUGUCGUGAAGAUGUUGGGUUUAAGUCCCGCAACRAGCGCAACCCUUGUCUCAUGUUGCCAGCACGUUAUUGGUGGGGACUCGUGGAGAGACUGCCAGGGGUCACACCUCGAGAGGAAAGGUGGGGAUAGACGUCAAGUCAUCAUGCCCCUUAUGUCCAGGGCUUCACACAUGCUACAAUGGCCGGUACAAAGGGCUGCGAUGCCGUGAGGUGGAGCGAAUCCUUUCAAAGCCGGUCUCAGUUCGGAUCGGGGUCUGCAACUCGACCCCGUGAAGUCGGAGUCGCUAGUAAUCGCAGAUCAGCAACGCUGCGGUGAAUACGUUCCCGGGCCUUGUACACACCGCCCGUCACGUCAUGAAAGUCGGUAACACCCGAAGCCGGUGGCCUAACCCCUUGUGGGAGGGAGCCGUCGAAGGUG
rnacentral:rRNA from 1 species